rnacentral:rRNA from 1 species
CGCGGCCUAUCAGCUUGUUGGUGGGGUAAUGGCCUACCAAGGCUUCGACGGGUAGCCGGCCUGAGAGGGUGACCGGCCACACUGGGACUGAGACACGGCCCAGACUCCUACGGGAGGCAGCAGUGGGGAAUAUUGGACAGUGGGCGGAAGCCUGAUCCAGCAACGCCGCGUGAGGGAUGACGGCCUUCGGGUUGUAAACCUCUUUCAGUACCGACGAAGCGCAAGUGACGGUAGGUACAGAAGAAGCACCGGCCAACUACGUGCCAGCAGCCGCGGUAAUACGUAGGGUGCGAGCGUUGUCCGGAAUUAUUGGGCGUAAAGGGCUCGUAGGCGGUUUGUCGCGUCGGGAGUGAAAACACCGGGCUUAACUCGGUGCUUGCUUUCGAUACGGGCAGACUAGAGGUAUGCAGGGGAGAACGGAAUUCCCGGUGUAGCGGUGAAAUGCGCAGAUAUCAGGAGGAACACCGGUGGCGAAGGCGGUUCUCUGGGCAUUACCUGACGCUGAGGAGCGAAAGUGUGGGGAGCGAACAGGAUUAGAUACCCUGGUAGUCCACACCGUAAACGUUGGGCGCUAGGUGUGGGGCCUAUUCCAUGGGUUCCCGUGCCGCAGCUAACGCAUUAAGCGCCCCGGCUGGGGAGUACGG